UGGUGAGUGGCGAACGGGUGAGUAACACGUAGAUAACCUGCCCUUAAGACGAGGAUAACCAUUGGAAACGAUGGCUAAGACUGGAUAGGAAUAUUGGAGGCAUCUCUGAUAUUUUAAAAGACCUAGCAAUAGGUAUGCUUAAGGAGGGGUCUGCGGCGCAUUAGUUAGUUGGUGGGGUGAUGGCCUACCAAGACAGUGAUGCGUAGCCGGACUGAGAGGUUGAACGGCCACAUUGGGACUGAGAAACGGCCCAAACUCC
rnacentral:rRNA from 1 species